AGUACUCGAGUGGCGAACGGGUGAGUAACACGUGGGUAAUCUGCCCUGCACUCUGGGAUAAGCCUGGGAAACUGGGUCUAAUACUGGAUAUGACCUUUCUCCUUAUGGGGUUUGGUGGAAAGUUUUUCGGUGUAGGAUGAGCCCGCGGCCUAUCAGCUUGUUGGUGGGGUGAUGGCCUACCAAGGCGGCGACGGGUAGCCGGCCUGAGAGGGUGGACGGCCACAUUGGGACUGAGAUACGGCCCAG
rnacentral:rRNA from 1 species